UGGCCUGCGCCCACUGUCUGGCACUCCCUAGUGAGAUGAACCCGGUACCUCAGAUGGAAAUGCAGAAAUCACCCGUCUUCUGCGUCGCUCAGGCUGGGAGCUGUAGACCGGAGCUGUUCCUAUUCGGCCAUCUUGGGUCUGGAUUCGGCAUUACAUGUCUUAAGGGAAAAAUCAACUCAAGAUGGAUUAAGGACUUAAACCUAAGACUUGAAACUAUAAAAAUUCCAGAAGAUAACAUUGGAAAAACCCUUCUAGACAUUGACUUAGAUAAGUAUUUCAUGACCAAGAACCCAAAAGCAAAUGCAAUAAAAACAAAGAUAAAUAACUAGGACCUAACUGAACUAAGAGCUUUUGUGCAGCAAAAAGAACAGUCAGCAGAGUAAACAGACAACCUACAGACUGGGAGAAAAUCUUCACAAUCUAUACAUCUGACAAAGGAGUAAUAUUCAGAAUCUACAACAAACACAAAUCAGUGAAAAAAUCCUAUCAAAAAGUGGGCUAAGGACAUAAAUAGACAAUUCUCAAAAGAAGAUAUACAAACGGCCAAUAAACAUACAAAAAAUGCUCAAUAUCACUAAUGAUCGGGGAAAUGCAAAUCAAAACCACAAUGUGAUAUCACUUUACUCCUGCAAGAAUGGCCAUAAUCAAAAAAUUGAAAAACAGUAGAUGUUGGCGUGGAUGUGGUGAUAAGGGAACACUUCUACACUGCUGGUGGGAAUGUAAACUAGUACAGCCACUGUGGAAAAUGGUGUGGAGAUUCCUUAAAGAAUGAAAAGUAGAACUACCAUU
rnacentral:lncRNA from 1 species